rnacentral:rRNA from 1 species
AGGGUUUGAUCAUGGCUCAGAACGUACGCUGGCGGCACGCCUAACACAUGCAAGUCGAACGAAGUAGCAAUACUUAGUGGCAGACGGGUGAGUAACAUGUAGGUAUCUUCCCUUUGGCCUGGAAUAACACGAGGAAACUUGUGCUAAUACUGGAUAAGUCUUUACGGAGAAAGCUUUAUGCACCAUUGGAUGAGCCUGCACUUGAUUAGUUUGUUGGUGGGGUAAAGGCCUACCAAGACUGUGAUCAAUAGCUGAUUUGAGAGGAUGAUCAGCCACAUUGGGACUGAGACACGGCCCAAACUCCUACGGGAGGCAGCAGUGGGGAAUCUUGCACAAUGGAGGAAACUCUGAUGCAGCGAUGCCGCGUGAGUGAAGAAGGCCUUUGGGUUGUAAAGCUCUUUCGUCGGGGAAGAAAAUGACUGUACCCGAAUAAGAAGGUCCGGCUAACUUCGUGCCAGCAGCCGCGGUAAUACGAAGGGACCUAGCGUAGUUCGGAAUUACUGGGCUUAAAGAGUUCGUAGGUGGUUGAAAAAGUUGGUGGUGAAAUCCCAGAGCUUAACUCUGGAACUGCCAUCAAAACUUUUCAGCUAGAGUUUGAUAGAGGAAAGCAGAAUUUCUAGUGUAGAGGUGAAAUUCGUAGAUAUUAGAAAGAAUACCAAUUGCGAAGGCAGCUUUCUGGAUCAUUACUGACACUGAGGAACGAAAGCAUGGGUAGCGAAGAGGAUUAGAUACCCUCGUAGUCCAUGCCGUAAACGAUGUGUGUUAGACGUUGGAAAUUUAUUUUCAGUGUCGCAGCGAAAGCGAUAAACACACCGCCUGGGGAGUACGACCGCAAGGUUAAAACUCAAAUGAAUUGACGGGGACCCGCACAAGUAGUGGAGCAUGUGGUUUAAUUCGAAGAUACGCGCAGAACCUUACCAACACUUGACAUGUUCGUCGCGACUUUAAGAGAUUAAAGUUUUCGGUUCGGCCGGACGAAACACAGGUGCUGCAUGGCUGUCGUCAGCUCGUGUCGUGAGAUGUUGGGUUAAGUCCCGCAACGAGCGCAACCCUCACUUUUAGUUGCCAUCAUUUAGUUGGGCACUCUGAAAGAACUGCCAGUGAUAAGCUGGAGGAAGGUGGGGAUGACGUCAAGUCCUCAUGGCCCUUACGUGUUGGGCUACACACGUGCUACAAUGGUAUUUACAACAGGAAGCAAAACGGCGACGUUAAGCAAAUCCUCAAAAAAUACCUCAGUUCGGAUUGCACUCUGCAACUCGAGUGCAUGAAGCUGGAAUUACUAGUAAUCGUGGAUCAGCGUGCCACGGUGAAUGCGUUCCCGGGUCUUGUACACACCGCCCGUCACACCAUGGGAGUUGGUUCUACCUUAAGGCAAGGUUUUAAACCCUUGACCACGGUAUAGUCAGCGACUGGGGUGAAGUCAUAACAAGGUAGCCGUA